rnacentral:rRNA from 1 species
CUCCUACGGGAGGCAGCAGUGGGGAAUAUUGCACAAUGGGGGAAACCCUGAUGCAGCAACGCCGCGUGAAGGAAGAAGGUUUUCGGAUCGUAAACUUCUAUCAACAGGGACGAAGAAAGUGACGGUACCUGAAUAAGAAGCCCCGGCUAACUACGUGCCAGCAGCCGCGGUAAUACGUAGGGGGCAAGCGUUAUCCGGAAUUACUGGGUGUAAAGGGAGCGUAGGCGGCACGCCAAGCCAGAUGUGAAAGCCCGAGGCUUAACCUCGCGGAUUGCAUUUGGAACUGGCGAGCUAGAGUACAGGAGAGGAAAGCGGAAUUCCUAGUGUAGCGGUGAAAUGCGUAGAUAUUAGGAAGAACACCAGUGGCGAAGGCGGCUUUCUGGACUGAAACUGACGCUGAGGCUCGAAAGCGUGGGGAGCAAACAGGAUUAGAUACCCUGGUAGUCCACGCCGUAAACGAUGAGUGCUAGGUGUCGGGGAGGAAUCCUCGGUGCCGCAGCUAACGCAAUAAGCACUCCACCUGGGGAGUACGACCGCAAGGUUGAAACUCAAAGGAAUUGACGGGGGCCCGCACAAGCGGUGGAGCAUGUGGUUUAAUUCGAAGCAACGCGAAGAACCUUACCAAGGCUUGACAUCCCGAUGACCGCUCUAGAGAUAGAGUUUCUCUUCGGAGCAUCGGUGACAGGUGGUGCAUGGUUGUCGUCAGCUCGUGUCGUGAGAUGUUGGGUUAAGUCCCGCAACGAGCGCAACCCUUAUCCUUAGUAGCCAUCAUUGAGUUGGGCACUCUAGGGAGACUGCCGUGGAUAACACGGAGGAAGGUGGGGAUGACGUCAAAUCAUCAUGCCCCUUAUGUCUUGGGCUACACACGUGCUACAAUGGCUGGUAACAGAGUGAAGCGAGACGGCGACGUUAAGCAAAUCACAAAAACCCAGUCCCAGUUCGGAUUGUAGUCUGCAACUCGACUACAUGAAGCUGGAAUCGCUAGUAAUCGCGAAUCAGAAUGUCGCGGUGAAUACGUUCCCGGGCCUUGUACACACCGC